rnacentral:rRNA from 1 species
CUACCCGGGUAUCUAAUCCUGUUUGAUCCCCACGCUUUCGUGCCUCAGCGUCAAUGACCCUGUAGUGAGCUGCCUUCGCAAUUGGUGUUCUAUGUCAUAUCUAAGCAUUUCACCGCUACAUGACAUAUUCCGCUCACCUCCCGGGUAUUCAAGACAGAUAGUAUCAACGGCAGUUUCCGAGUUAAGCUCGAAGAUUUCACCACUGACUUACCUGCCCGCCUACGCACCCUUUAAACCCAGUGAAUCCGGAUAACGCUUGCACCCUCCGUAUUACCGCGGCGGCUGGCAC